GCCGGGGUGGUAGAGUGGUAGAGACGCCUCUUGGUUCGGUCAUCCGUAGUCCUCCUAGAAACCCUAGACACCCAAUCCGGCUCACGUAGGAUGUCAAGCACCACACAAAUUGCGGUUGCUAGUACAACACGAACAGCACGGUAUACGGGUAUGAGCGGACUGGACCAGAGGAGACGUCAGUUCGAAUCUGACCCCCGGCA